UAGGGAAUCUUCGGCAAUGGACGAAAGUCUGACCGAGCAACGCCGCGUGAGUGAAGAAGGUUUUCGGAUCGUAAAACUCUGUUGUUAGAGAAGAACAAGGACGUUAGUAACUGAACGUCCCCUGACGGUAUCUAACCAGAAAGCCACGGCUAACUACGUGCCAGCAGCCGCGGUAAUACGUAGGUGGCAAGCGUUGUCCGGAUUUAUUGGGCGUAAAGCGAGCGCAGGCGGUUUCUUAAGUCUGAUGUGAAAGCCCCCGGCUCAACCGGGGAGGGUCAUUGGAAACUGGGGGACUUGAGUGCAGAAGAGGAGAGUGGAAUUCCAUGGGUAGCGGUGAAAUGCGUAGAUAUAUGGAGGAAAACCAGUGGCGAAGGCGGCUCUCUGGUCUGUAACUGACGCUGAGGCUCGAAAGCGUGGGGAGCAAACAGG
rnacentral:rRNA from 1 species